UGGGGAAUAUUGCACAAUGGGCGCAAGCCUGAUGCAGCCAUGCCGCGUGUAUGAAGAAGGCCUUCGGGUUGUAAAGUACUUUCAGCGGGGAGGAAGGGAGUAAAGUUAAUACCUUUGCUCAUUGACGUUACCCGCAGAAGAAGCACCGGCUAACUCCGUGCCAGCAGCCGCGGUAAUACGGAGGGUGCAAGCGUUAAUCGGAAUUACUGGGCGUAAAGCGCACGCAGGCGGUUUGUUAAGUCAGAUGUGAAAUCCCCGGGCUCAACCUGGGAACUGCAUCUGAUACUGGCAAGCUUGAGUCUCGUAGAGGGGGGUAGAAUUCCAGGUGUAGCGGUGAAAUGCGUAGAGAUCUGGAGGUAUACCGGUGGCGAAGGCGGCCCCCUGGACGAAGACUGACGCUCAGGUGCGAAAGCGUGGGGAGCAAACAGG
rnacentral:rRNA from 1 species